ACGGGGCCCGCACAAGCGGUGGAGCAUGUGGUUUAAUUCGAUGAUACGCGAGGAACCUUACCUGGGCUCAAAUGUAUGUUGACGUAUUCUGAAAGGGAUACUUCUUCGGACAAUAUACAAGGUGCUGCAUGGUUGUCGUCAGCUCGUGCCGUGAGGUGUCGGGUUAAGUCCCAUAACGAGCGCAACCCCUAUCAUUAGUUGCCAUCAGGUCAAGCUGGGGACUCUAAUGAAACUGCCUACGCAAGUAGUGAGGAAGGUGGGGAUGACGUCAAAUCAGCACGGCCCUUACGUCCAGGGCUACACACGUGCUACAAUGGCCGGUACAAAGGGCAGCUACCUGGUGACAGGAUGCUAAUCUCAAAAGCCGGUCUCAGUUCGGAUCGGAGUCUGCAACCCGACUCCGUGAAGCUGGAUUCGCUAGUAAUCGCGCAUCAGCCAUGGCGCGGUGAAUACGUUCCCGGGCCUU
rnacentral:rRNA from 1 species